UCUGUCUCUCCACACAGAGCUUUUAUUCAGACCUAACGCUGCCCUUCGUGCUCCGUGUUCCUGUUUCUCCCUCCCCAUAAGACUAUUUACGACACAAACAACGAAUUUCCUCCAAACGGCCGUGUUAGUGAUCCUCACCUGCCUUCGGGGGCUCAAAUCCGGUUGGGAUUCGAGAAAGCCGAGGCGCCCCAAUACAUCCUCCUGAAUCAUACCUUCGGCCAGGGUUCGCUAGAAUAAUCUGGAUAUAUAAAAACAACACUGAACAGUCGAAGCCGCUCUUCCACGGCUAAGGUAUCUUCUUGACCGAGUACCCAGGGUGCAUCUGGAAUGGCUGUGAACGUGUGUGUCACACCCCACGUCUUGUGCCGUAAAGAUGAAAUCCUGUGCAGAAGCUUCCCCCAUGCAUCGUCUUAGCGUGGAAUAGAUCCUUCUUAGCAACCGCAUCUGAUAUCCCUCCUCAGAGAAACAUGUGCUGAGAUGGAAAAGAAAUUACGGAGAUUUCCAUGGAGGCAUUUUUAAAGGCAUCGUCUUAGAAGGACAGUAUAAUGG